rnacentral:tRNA from 1 species
GCCCAGAUAGCUCAGUCGGUAGAGCAGGGGACUGAAAAUCCCCGUGUCGGUGGUUCGAUUCCGCCUCUGGCACCA